UGAAAGCUGGCAACUAAGUUGCUAUAUUGGCAAUGGCGCUGCCCAUCGGCAACCCAACUGAGGUUCCGUUCCCAUCCAUAAUCGAUCCAUAAGUCAUAAUCGCACGAACUAAUCAAGGCUAUCAUAGAAUCCAUCGUAGUCCGAUUUUUCGUGAAAUCUACGGAAAUGCUAUUAAGGUCCAAUAGCUACGAACGCAGCGCUUGCUUUGAAUACACACGUUCAUAGCAGUUCAGAUUCAGUGAUCGAUUUUUCAUAGAUUUUAAGAAAAAUUGGACUACGAUGGAUUCCGCCACCAAUAUGUUUUCUCCUUUGACAAGAUGUUGGAGAAUCGCGGCAGCACAGCCGUAUACUUACUCUAUGCUAUACGCGCAUAUGCUAAAUUUCUCUCACCUAGCUAAAGUGCUUGACAAAGGCAGAAGGCAUAUCUUCAACAUUAUAACUUAAAGUAAAAAAGUUUAAGGCAUGCAUAAAAGAAUCAACAGAACCAAAAAAUGUCCUCAAAACUAUUAAACAUAAAAAAUUGCACGAAUAAAAUUCAUAAUUUAAAAUAAAAUA